UCCAGUAGUUGCAAAUUUAUGGAAAUAUGAUGUCCACCGUCGUCACCGGCAUCCGAAGAAAGCGUCCAGAGACGGAGAUGAGAAUGGAUCGAUAGCCACCGCCGUCGCCAAUGGUGGUGGAAGAGAGAUUAACCCAAUGUGGCCUGGUACAUGCAGUCUGUUACGUGAUGAGGAUGGGCACCAAACGUUUCUACAAGCAUGUUGACAUGUGUCUAUUCUUGCACCACGUGUUCCAAAGGAUCUGUUUUUUACUUCGUCUUCUUAUGUCGCGGAAACUGUGAAGCACUGAAGCACGCUUCUGGUAUGCGGAAAGUAUUUUGUCAUCUUCUUUACAUCAAAGACCCAAGCUGGUCGUGGUAGUGGGUCGGAUUUUGUUAAUUGCACGUUGCAUUUCUUAACAUGUCAGUUUCAUAGUUGUGUGUUACUGGUAACCGGACACAUAAUAGACGAGUGUCGACCAUGUUACUACAAAGGAUGCGUAACAAAUCAGAUUGCAUAGAGCACCGCUGCAAGUAAGAUUUUGUUAAUUGCAUAUUGCAUUUUUUAUUAUGUCAGCUUCGUAGUUAUAAGUUGUAUGUAACGGGACAGGUAUGUAAGGUACAUGUAAUGGGUCAUAUUGCAACUGUACAUGUACAGAGUUCCCGUCGUAUGGCACAGGUCAAUUUCUAAACGGUUAGCUGCUAAUUUAAUAUAAUAAUAUUUCAUUUUUUUGGAGUUU